rnacentral:sRNA from 1 species
UGAUGACUGCCAAAGACAGCAGGUGCGAAAGCGUAAGUAGACCAACGCCUGCCGAGGAGUAAGAAUUCUUUAUCAGAAGAGUUGGAUUCCUCUGUGUCUUUUUGGCACAGAGGAUUUUUAUUUUA